rnacentral:rRNA from 1 species
UGAGGAAUAUUGGUCAAUGGACGAGAGUCUGAACCAGCCAAGUAGCGUGAAGGAUGACUGCCCUAUGGGUUGUAAACUUCUUUUAUAUGGGAAUAAAAAAGGCCACGUGUGGUCUAUUGUAUGUACCUUAUGAAUAAGCAUCGGCUAAUUCCGUGCCAGCAGCCGCGGUAAUACGGAAGAUGCGAGCGUUAUCCGGAUUUAUUGGGUUUAAAGGGAGCGUAGGCGGGCGAUUAAGUCAGCGGUAAAAUAGUGUGGCUCAACCAUACUGUGCCGUUGAUACUGGUUGCCUUGAGUGCACACAAGGAAGAUGGAAUUCGUGGUGUAGCGGUGAAAUGCUUAGAUAUCACGAAGAACUCCGAUUGCGAAGGCAGUCUUCUGGGGUGUUACUGACGCUGAGGCUCGAAAGUGCGGGUAUCAAACA